UACGGGGGGGGCAAGCGUUGUUCGGAAUUACUGGGCGUAAAGGGCUCGUAGGCGGCCAACUAAGUCAGACGUGAAAUCCCUCGGCUUAACCGGGGAACUGCAUCUGAUACUGGAUGGCUUGAGUUCGGGAGAGGGAUGCGGAAUUCCAGGUGUAGCGGUGAAAUGCGUAGAUAUCUGGAGGAACACCGGUGGCGAAGGCGGCAUCCUGGACCGACACUGACGCUGAGGAGCGAAGCCAGGGAGCAAACGGG
rnacentral:rRNA from 1 species